rnacentral:rRNA from 1 species
GACGGUCUUGCUGUCACUUAUAGAUGGAUCCGCGCUGCAUUAGCUAGUUGGUAAGGUAACGGCUUACCAAGGCAACGAUGCAUAGCCGACCUGAGAGGGUGAUCGGCCACACUGGAACUGAGACACGGUCCAGACUCCUACGGGAGGCAGCAGUAGGGAAUCUUCCGCAAUGGGCGAAAGCCUGACGGAGCAACGCCGCGUGAGUGAUGAAGGUCUUCGGAUCGUAAAACUCUGUUAUUAGGGAAGAACAUAUGUGUAAGUAACUGUGCACAUCUUGACGGUACCUAAUCAGAAAGCCACGGCUAACUACGUGCCAGCAGCCGCGGUAAUACGUAGGUGGCAAGCGUUAUCCGGAAUUAUUGGGCGUAAAGCGCGCGUAGGCGGUUUUUUAAGUCUGAUGUGAAAGCCCACGGCUCAACCGUGGAGGGUCAUUGGAAACUGGAAAACUUGAGUGCAGAAGAGGAAAGUGGAAUUCCAUGUGUAGCGGUGAAAUGCGCAGAGAUAUGGAGGAACACCAGUGGCGAAGGCGACUUUCUGGUCUGUAACUGACGCUGAUGUGCGAAAGCGUGGGGAUCAAACAGGAUUAGAUACCCUGGUAGUCCACGCCGUAAACGAUGAGUGCUAAGUGUUAGGGGGUUUCCGCCCCUUAGUGCUGCAGCUAACGCAUUAAGCACUCC